UGAUGUCAUCAAAUAAAUCUGUCAGCAGCGGCCUGCGGUGUUGUUGUUACCACAGGAUUUGUGGGGGUAUGGAGUCAAACCUGGCAUGGCUCUGAAAUGCAGCACAGGGACAAAAGGGAUGAUCUCUCAGAGAGGGGAUACAAGCACAAAAAAAACAUGGAGGACACCAUCAACCUAACUGCAGCUGAGCACCAAGAUGAGACAUGGUUACUGCUUCCUGUCACACCACACAGGAAGACAUGAAUCUGAACCAAGAAGUAAAAACAAGCAGGUAGAGAUAGUACUUCUGCUGUGGGUAAGACUUUCCUUCACAUAAAGAGACGAUCAGCUUCAUUAAAGACUCUUCUUAGUUCCCUUGACAAAAUACAAACCACAGUGCUUCACCUAGUUUUCUGCCUGCAAAGGAACCGUAAUCUAAUUAUAAAAAAUAAAACAUAUUCCUUAU